CAUUCUCCAGAUACUUAUCUGAGCUAAUACUUAAUUUCUGCAAAGAAGUAGAGGUCUGCUGAUUGGAAGGUAGCCAAAGCUUACAGUGAUAGUGGAUUCAUCUUUGAUGGGAUGGUUGAAGGGUAUAACAGUGGAGGUUUGCUCGUUCGUUUUCAUUCUUUAGUGGGUUUUCUUCCAUUUCCACAGUUGAGCCCAUCACACUUUUGCCAAGAACCAGGAAAAAGCGUCCAGGAGAUUGCAAAAGGUUUACCAGGUUCUCUUAUUUCUGUAAAGGUAAUCCAAGCAGAUGAAGAAAACAAGAAACUGAUAUUCUCAGAAAAGGAAGCUGUCUGGUCCAAGUUUUCUGAGAAAAUUAGUGUUGGGGAUGUUUUUGAAGCUAGGGUGGGUUCUGUGGAGGAUUACGGGGCUUUUGUUCAUCUACUAUUUCCUGAUGGUCUUUAUCAUCUGACUGGACUAGUACAUGUCUCGGAGGUUUCAUGGGAUUUAGUUCAGGAUGUAAGAGACAUUUUGUCGGAGGGCGAUGCAGUAAGAGUUAAGAUCAUUAAUAUUGAUCGAGAAAAGUCAAGAAUCACAUUGUCAAUUAAACAGUUGGAGGAAGAUCCACUUUUAGAAACAUUGGACAAAGUGAUACCACAGGAUGGCUCUGAAGGUCCUGAUUCUUUGAACCCUAACAAUAGCAGUAAUAUAGAACCUCUUCCAGGCCUUGAAGCCAUAUUUGAAGAGCUACUACAGGAAGAUGGAAUAGAUGAUGUAGGAAUCACUCGCCAAGGGUUUGAGAAAAGGGUGGUUUCACAGGACCUGCAACUUUGGCUCUCUAAUUCACCAGCCAUUAACCGGAAGUUUACUCUCCUUGCACGGGCAGGAAGGCAGGUGCAGGAAAUACAACUGACAACAACACUUGAUCAGGAAGGUAUAAAACAAGCACUCCAACGAGUAUUGGAGCGUGUCCCAUAGAUGACUUAAAACAAUCACUACGCCGUAUUCAUUCACAGUUACAUUUGUUUUGGUUGCGACUUUGGGUCAACAGAUAUUACUGUAUAGAUUGAGGAAUUGCCCUAUAAGCUGUAUAAAAAGUUAAUAGGUCACUUGGGUACCUUGUUAAAACGAAUGAUUUUUUUUUUUCUCUUUCAUGUACCAAUUUUACAAAACUGAGUUUUAGAGGGAAAUGAUGUAAUAAUGUAUU